UAUAUGAACUUAGCUUCUUUACACGUGUACGGGUGAAACUUAAAAACAGAAAGCAUUAGGGAACCAGCAGAAGAAAAGUUCGAGGCCAACAGUGGCGAUGCUGAUCGUUCAUUUUCUCUCGGUGCAAUAAAAGAAAAAACCCUGACGAUUCAAACAAUUACUACAAAAUUUGCUGACAUGUCUCUAAGGAGGGAGGAAGCAUAAAGCAGUGCAUAUUUUCAUUCUCGAUACUGGGCAGGAUGAUCAUGUUAUAGUGCUUUUAGAUGAUUACCUAAAACAGUAUGCAGGGAAGGAAAGAAGUCCUCUCUCUUUUAAAUUGUAGGAGAUGUAAAGGGAUGAUGUUGGUCCAUUUGGAGAGGAAGUGCCUUUAGUUGUUUCCUUUGAUGUAAGGUUUCACUUUCUUUGCUUGAUUGGAUCUGGUCUCUCAAAACUGCUCAUAUACCAACUGCCAUAGGUGUUUGCGUCUCAAAAGAUUAGCUUCCAAGAAGACAUUACUAGCAAUGACAGUUGGACUAUAUUGCUUCUCUUCUGGUUCAGUCUUGAAUAUGAGGUGUAGUUACUAGUACACUGGAGUCAUUAGCUUUUAAUGCUUUAUAUCAUGAUGAAAAAUUUUAAUCAGGUUGCUUAAUACACUGUCAUGCGAUCAGGCACAUUGGCAUUGAAUGCUGGAUGAAGUGAGCGUCUUCUCUUCUAAGUUUUGUAUUAUUCAUUUAUUUGCCAACCUUGACUGAUUAAUUGCUGUAAGAGUCAACACUAAUAAUACUUCAGUUGAUUGCAUGUUACCAUGAUCAGUUGCAAAUUCAUGAAGUUGUUUUGCUUCUAUCAAAUAAUGUGUAAGUAGUUUCCUUUUGAUCUCUCUAUGUUAAAGCUAAAGUGAAUCACUGUAAAUGAUCUUUUUUUCAAUUAUAAUGACGCAGACCUGAGCUGAGAGAAUUUGAAUA